rnacentral:lncRNA from 1 species
CCAAAUGUCGUGUUCUGGACUCUCAUUUCUCAUUUGCAAAACUACCAUAUUGAGAUACAUGAAAUCCAUACAUAUUUCAACAAUUUCUUAGAAAACAAAUGAGAAGAAGAUACAAAGAAGGUAUUAAGUGAAGGGAAUAUGGGAAAGAACCGACCUUGGGCCCAUUUUCUAUGGUGGAAAUGAACUUGGAAUGGAGACUAAAGCAGAAGUCUGUGUUAGGGGGUUUGGGAGCAUGACAUCAAGCAUGAACAGGAGGAGGGAGGUAAAGAUAAUCGAGGGAGAACCUAGUGAGUCAGCGGCGAAGGUGCAUGAUGGCCAAGACCAUGCCAAGGUGGUUGAUAUAUGAGAAGUCUAGGGAGUUUCAUUUUUUCCUUCC